GGACACGUAGCUCAAAUGGCAAGAGGACCGUGUUUUUAGCGGACGGAUACGUGUUCAAUUCCCGUCGUGUCCA
rnacentral:tRNA from 1 species